UAUCAGGUAGUAGUGGGUGUAGCGUACCUACUAGCCUACGACGGGUACGGGUUGUGAGAGCAAGAGCCCGGAGAUGGAUUCUGAGACACGAAUCCAGGCCCUACGGGGUGCAGCAGGCGCGAAAACUUUACAAUGCUGGCAACAGCGAUAAGGGAACCUCGAGUGCCAGGUUACAAAUCUGGCUGUCGAGAUGCCUAAAAAGCAUUUCAUAGCAAGGGCCGGGCAAGACCGGUGCCAGCCGCCGCGGUAACACCGGCGGCUCGAGUGGUAACCGUUAUUAUUGGGUCUAAAGGGUCUGUAGCCGGCCGGAUAAGUCUCUUGAGAAAUCUGGCAGCUUAACUGUCAGGCUUUCAGGAGAUACUGUCUGGCUCGAGGCCGGGAGAGGUGAGAGGUACUUCAGGGGUAGGGGUGAAAUCUUGUAAUCCUUGAAGGACCACCAGUGGCGAAGGCGUCUCACCAGAACGGACCUGACGGCAAGGGACGAAAGCUAGGGGCACGAACCGGAUUAGAUACCCGGGUAGUCCUAGCCGUAAACGAUACUCGCUAGGUGUCGGCCACGGUGCGACCGUUGUCGGUGCCGUAGGGAAGCCGUGAAGCGAGC
rnacentral:rRNA from 1 species